UGCAUCAUCUCCUAGGCUGCACUACGCUGUUUACAGACUGCCUGAGCUGCACCAGAGCCCCGCCGGCAGCAGCCGCCAGACGCACAGGCGCAUGUGCACACGCAGCAGAGAGGUAAGGCCAGCCCCCAGCAACAGCAGCAGCAGCCUUCUGCUGCUGGAUUUUUCCAGCUGGAACAUCUUGCUGGCUCUGCUGUAAUUUAUGGACACUGGUUUCUGGCGCGGGGCCUUUGCUGUUACGACAGGGACCCACCGACUAAAGGAGGCAGAGCUACAGUCAGAGGCGGAGAAGAGAGGAAGAAGAGGGGUGAAGGACAUCGGGGGAGUGGAGAGUAUGGAAGGAGAAAAAGGCAGAGCGGCACUUAAGAGAGGUGUGAGUUAUAAUUAAGAGAGCAGAAAGAGAAAAUUUCAGAGAGUGAGUCAGCCUCAGGACGGCAAACAGCAGGAGACGACUUCAGGGAACAUCUCAUAUCAAGGAGGAUCUGUUCUGUCUGAAUCUUCGCCAUGAGCACAAGGAAGAGCUGCCCUCUGCCACCGGGGCAAGGAGACCAAGAGGAGAAGCAGAAUGUGGCUGCUUCUGACAUGGAGCCCCAGGAGUGCGAGGUGGAGAUGAUGAACAAAGCUAUUCUGCAACAGAAGAGGCGCCUGAAACAAGUGACUCAGUUUGUGCAUAAGGACUCUGCUGACCUGCUGCCCCUGGAUGGCUUGACGAGGCUUGGCACGUCCAAGGAUCUGCAGCCACAUAGUGUGGUCCAGCGGCGCCUCUUGGAAGGCAAUCUGAACAAACUGCGGAGUGAGACGAGGGGCCAGUCUGCAUGGGUUCAAUCUCCACUGGCAAAAGACCGGGAUGAAAGGAUGGAAAGGGGAGAGAACAGGAGAAAAGAGUCUUCACCUCUGCUAAUACAGUGCCAGUGCCAAGGUCAAGUAUUGAAAGUGACUGUUAACACUGGAUGUCCACCAAAUCUCAUCUCCAGGAGCUGUUUAAAGCAGCUGGGGCUAGAAGAAGUAUCUGCCAUGGACUGUGGAAACCUCUCUCUUACCAUCCCCAGCGUUGUUGGCCGAGUAGAACACAUGGAGUUGCAGUUUGGUCAGGAGACAGUGCUGUGUUCAGCACUGGUUGUAGAUGAUGAAACGCUGGAAUUUUGCCUUGGUCUCCAGACUCUGUUGUCUCUCAAGUGUUGCAUCGACUUGGAAGAAGGAAUGCUGAGGCUUAAAGCAUUGAGUCAAGAGCUGCCUUUUCUACAUGCCUCUGAAGAGCCUGGUCAGUGACUGGGUGCAUUCCCCACAACUGGCAGUGAGGAGACUUGCUGCCAUGAGACGGAGAUGACGUGUUCUACUUGUGAUUAUUUCUGGUUGCAUGAGCUGCUUUCCAUGAAUUUCAUGAGUGAUACCAACAGUUCCCUCUUAUGUCAGAAUACGCAUCUACACUUGAUGAUCUUGUCUUCCAAAUUACCAGUAAUGCCUCUAGGAAUUGUAUCACUUGCAUGUCUGACUAUCUUCUUAAACCCAAGGGGGUUUAAUGACAGCUCAGACUUGUACUAAACCAUCCUGUGUGUCUGCUGGAGUUUAUGUGGAACCUGGGUCAACCCUGCUGAAGAAAACCUGUUCCUAUUGGCAGCAACUCACCUAGAUUCUAACUCCCCAAUGGCAUGUGGAAUAAUGACAACUAAUCUACUAAAGAUGGCAGAUACUAUGUACAUUACAUAUAUUAUUAAUCUAUGUUAUGAUCUAUUAAAAAAAAAACAAAACACCUAACUCUAAGCAUUAAGACUAACUCUAGCCCUAGACUAGAACCUAACCCCAACUCUAAAUCUAGCUGCUAAAUCCAACCCUAACUCUAAACCUUCAUGAUAACACUAAACCCCAAUCCUAAACAAUAGCCCAUAACCAUAAAUCUUAAGACAAAACCUCAUAAAUCUAACCCAGGAACAACAUAACUCUAACCACUGAACCCUAAUACCAAAAUACAAACCUAAUACAGCAUUAACUAUAAACUCUAACCCUAAUUCCAAAGCAUAAAACUCUAUAACCAUUAACCCUAAUUUUGUCCCUAAACCCAACACUACCGUUGACACUAACCUCUAAACUUGACCCUAAUCCUAAAUGUAACCACUGACACCUAAACACCUAACCACCCAACACUAACCUAACCAUAACCCUAAUCACAAAUCUAACAAUAGCCCUACCUCCAAACACUAAACCCUAAGCCCUUAACCUUAACCCUAAUCAGAACAAUAAGUCUAACACCUAACCUUAACCUUAAAACUAAGCCUAACCAUAAAACUAACCCUAACCGUAUCACAGAACCACAGAAUGUCAGGGGUUGGAAGGGGCCUCGAAAGAUCAUCCAGUCCAACCCCCCUGCCACAGCAGGAUGACCUAUACCAGAUCACACAGGAAUGUGUCCAAGCAGGUCUUGAAUAUCUCCAGAGAGGGAGACUCCACAACACCCCUGAGCAGCCUGUUCCAAUGUUCUGUCACCUUCACAGUGAGAAAAACUUUCCUCAUGUUUACAUGGAACUUCCACCCAUUGCCCCUUGUCCUGUCACUGGGCAUUAUGAGCAGAGCCUGGCUCCAGCCUCCUAGCACUCACCUUUACAUAUUUAUAAACAUUUAUGAGGUCACCUCUCAGUCUCCUCCAGGCUCCAGGUCCCAGCUCCCUUAGUCUCUCCUCAUAAUAGAGAUGUUCUAUUCCCUUAAUCUUCUUUGUGGCUUUGUGCUGGACUCUCAAGCAGUUCUGUGUCCCUUUUGAACUGGGGCACCCAGAACUGGACACAGUACUUCAGAUCCAGCCUCACCAGGGCAGAGUAGAGGUUGCAGAACCUCUCUCGACCUACUAGCCACAGCCCUUCUAAUACACCCCAGAAUGGCAUUGCCCCUCCUGGCCACAAGAGCACAUUGCUGGCUCAUGGUCAACCUAUCCACUAGGACCCCCAGAUCCUUUUCCCCUUCACUGUCUUCCAACAGGUCACUCCCUAACCUAUACUGAUCCCUGGGGUUGUUCUUUCCUAGGUGCCAGACUCUACACUUGUCCUUGCUGAAUUUCAUUAAGUUUCUCCCGGUCUGCCCCUCCAGCCUGUCCAAGUCUCACUGAAUGGCAGCACAGCCUUCUGGUGUGGCAGCCACUCCUCCCAAUUUGGUGUCAUCAGCAAACUUGCUGACAGUGCUCUCCAUGCCCUCAUACAGGUCAUUGAUGAAUAUACUGAACAGAACUGGUCCCAGUACUGAUCCCUGUGGGACCCUACUGGUUACAGGCCUACAACUAGACUCCAUUCCAUUGACCACAACUCUCUGGCUUCUUUCCUUCUAGCACUUUCCAGUCCAUCUCACUACCUGAUCAUCCAGACCAUACUGCCUCAAUUUAGCCAGAAGGAUGCUGUAGGAGACAGUGUCAAAUGCUUUACUGAAAUCAAGAUAAACCACAUCCAUGGCUGUAAACCUAACCCUUAACCCCUAAUGCUGAAGUUAAACCUAAGCUUAACCACUGACCCUAAUUCUAAAUUCUAACUGUAAACCUUAACACUAAAUCCUAAUUAACUGCAACCCUAAUGCUAAUCCUAACUCCUGACCCUAAAUCUAAUUCUUAACACUCCUAAUCCCUGAUCCAAACACUAACCUCCAACACUAACAGCAACUCUCUCUAGUAACAGAAACCCUAACCUCUAACAGUGGUAGUAACACCUGAUUGUAAUACCUAGACCUUAGCCCUGAACAUUAACUGAAAUGUAACCAACUACAGCUAACCACCUAAACCAAACCCCUAACUCUAACCUCAUAACCAAAACCCUAAUUGAAAAAUCUUAAGCCUAAUCCUAAACCCCCUAAUCCUGGAUCAUAAUCUCUAAACUUUUAAUACUAAAUCUAACCCUAACACCAAACAUUAAAGCUAAAUUAACCCUGACCCCCUAACCACAACCCCCUAAACCUCAUCCUGACUCUAAUCCCUAACCUCUAAUGCGAAACUCUACCUCCAAACUUAACUAUAAAACUAAACCUUGGCCUAAGACUAUCCCUGAUGCUUAACCCUAAACUCUAAUCCUAAUCUCUAAAACAUAAACCUGAAACCUAAUUCUAAAUCUCUGCCUAACUCCAACACCUGACCCUAACUCUGACCACUAAACCAAACUCUAACCCAAUCCCUAAAUGUGAAACUAAGGCUAACCCUGACCCUUAAACCUAAGCACUAAUUCACUAAUCCUAACCUCCAAGACUUAAUCCUAACCCUCUCACCCCCAAAACCUAACCAUAACCCUGACUUCUAAUCCUGGUGCUAAACAUAACCCUAAUCCCAUCCCCAAAGACUAAGCCUAACUCCAACCACUAAUACCAAAACCCAAAUCAAAAUCCCUAACCCUGAACCUACUACUAACCUUCCCAUAACCUGUAACUAUAACCUCUAAUUCUUGACUGUAACCCUAAGUAUUCAUCUCUACCCUCUACCCUGCCCCUAACCCUACUCCUAACUCUGUCCUUGAUGAUAACCCCUGACUGUAAACCAUAACUGUAAGCCUAACCCUAACCCUAACUUAAAACACAUCCCUAACACAAGCUUGAACCCUAACAAUAACCCCAGAUACCUAACACUGUCCCUAUCUCAAACCCUGCCAGCUUUUCUUUGGCCUGUAAAGGGCCCUGCCUCCCCCUGUAGCACCUCCGGGCUUUCGCCUGGCUUUGGGAGGCCGGUAAGAGGCCAUUCAUCCAUCCAGAGCACCCCAGGGCUUUUGUGGCCUUUGCUGAUGCCCACAAGUAGCUUCUAAGGGAAGGGUGAGGGCCAGCAACAUCAUUCAGUCCCAGCCACUUCUGUGUAGGGUGGUGGAUGUGCACUUUGGAGCUGGACUCUGGCAGGGGUGAAGGUGUAGGUGAGGAAGUGCAAAGCCCCACUGUUGGUGGGGCUGUGAAAGGAAGGUGAUCCAGCAACAGCAUUCAGUGCUGGGCACUUCUGUGUGACUGGGUGUCUGUUUUGGAGUGGGGCUUUGGCUAGCCUGAAGGCAUAGUCGAGUAGGAGUCUUCCUGAACUCAGAAGCCAACAGGAAUCUUUCCAAAACGUGCUGAAUGGGAUCGUACAUAAAACUGGAAGGAGUUAGAGCUGGCAAUUCUACCUUCGCUAGUGUAUCACUUCAAGCCCUCAGAUACUUGCAUAGCAGCUGCUGUGGGAAUUUACCAGGUGCUGUUCUUACAUGUCUGCUUUUGCUCACCUUCAGAAUAUCCUGAAUGUCCUC